ACACCUCAACUCCCAUGGUUCGCCAUGGUGAGCUUGGACUUUGGGGGUUUUGCUGGCCCGUGGUCAGCUCCUCUCAAAUGAAUUAGCCUGCCAGUGUUUGGUGGCGUCACAGGUGUGAUAAAUAUCUACGCUUGCGAUUGCCCACCAUGUAACCUUCAGCAAUGGGGGUUCGCUGGGGCUCAUAGACGUCUCUCCCUAAGUGAGGACAGUUUUUUAAC
rnacentral:misc_RNA from 1 species